CUUAAAUUGAAGAGUUUGAUCAUGGCUCAGAUUGAACGCUGGCGGCAGGCCUAACACAUGCAAGUCGAGCGGAAACGAGUUAUCUGAACCUUCGGGGAACGAUAACGGCGUCGAGCGGCGGACGGGUGAGUCAUGCCUAGGAAAUUGGCCUGCCGUGGGGGAUACUCAUUGGAAACGUUCGCUAAUACGGCCUGACGCCUACGGGCCAAAGAGGGGGACUCU
rnacentral:rRNA from 1 species